AGUUACCAGUUGAUCUUCAUAGACAUUCUUCAGUUUCGGGUUGUUGGGUGAUUUGGUACUCCUAUUGAUCAGUUGUGAAGUGGUGAGCCUCUAUCCUUCAGAAGGUCCGGUCAUUUCAUUAGUUUUCUUAUAUUUAUAGCACUUUUGGAUUCUUUUUUUCAUAGUAGAGGGCAUGUCCUGACUUAGUUGGUAUUCUUAGAUUAGAGGCUUUUGUGGACAGUAUUGGGAUGUUAUAGUUGUUUGGUUUUAACUUUCAGCUUUUCAUGUA